GUGCACUUAGCUCCGUGGUUAGAGCACCUUUCUAGAGAAAAGAAUUCAUGGGUUCAAAUCCAAUAGUGCACA
rnacentral:tRNA from 1 species